rnacentral:rRNA from 1 species
UACGGAGGGUGCGAGCGUUGUCCGGAAUCACUGGGCGUAAAGGGCGCGUAGGCGGUUCGUUAAGUUGCUGGUGAAAUCCCGGGGCUCAACUCCGGGGCUGCCGGCAAGACUGGCGGGCUAGAGCACGGUAGAGGCGGAUGGAAUUCCCGGUGUAGCGGUGAAAUGCGUAGAGAUCGGGAGGAAGGCCGGUGGCGAAGGCGGCGCUCUGGAACGUUUCUGACGCUGAGGCUCGAAAGCGUGGGGAGCAAACAGG